CGUGACGCCUGGGCUGACUGGGCACAGACCAGCUACACACAACCUCUGAGGGUCCAAAUGGGCGAGUGUGACCAUCCUGCAGGAAAACGGCCUGUAGCAGAAAGUGGGGAGCAGUCUGUAAGGCUGGAGACAGAUGAGUAGGAGCUUGAUACAAGUCAGCCCCCUUUGUGCAUUGCUAAGAUCCAGAGGGCGGAGCAACCUUCUUGUGAUCCAGCAAGACCCUGCAUAAAGUCUGGUCCCUCGUUACAUACUUGCGGAAUUGAAUGUGAGGACGCAGGUGCAGCCCCAGCACAGGUGCAGGCCUCAGGAAAUGAACGGCCUAAAGGGGAAUUGGACAGUAAUGCACCACACGCUGCAACAGGCAUGUUCGUGUUGUGACGGCUGCACUGCCACAAGUGGCGCCCGAACAGGGACCUGAAGAACAGGUACUUGAAGAACAGGGACCUGAGUAUCGAGGGAUUCAGUGAAGGACACCGCUGGAUAAAGAAUAAAAGGAGAUCUCUUCAAAAAGAAAGAAGAGGACCUUCAAAAGGAAGGCAAAAGAGGAGCGGUGAGUUUUCUUGUAAAUAUUAAAAAUGGGAGCAGGCAAGAGUUGCAUGCUUUUUGUAUAUAUGC
rnacentral:lncRNA from 1 species